AUAAAUUUAUAUGAAUCAUGCUACAAAUUUUAUUAGCUUAAUUAUAUUAUUCCAAAAAAUCAAACAGGGUUAUAAAAGUAAUAAGUAUAAGUGAAUGUUCCCAGACACUCAACUCAUUAUUUUCCUCUUAGCUUUGGGGUCUGUACUUUCUUGUAGGUUAUUAAAUAAGUAAAUGCUCUCUUAAAAUAUUUCUAUUUCCUCAGACAAAAGAAAAAAUAUACCUUAUAUGAUUCAGACUUCGGUCAUAUACUUGGAUGUUUUCCAGAAGAAAACCAACAUGAUCAAAGAGUUAAUUUGCUCCUUUACAUCCCUAGCAACUUUGCAAUCAGCAUGUUGGUUGUCCUGAGAUCCUACUGUCUCUCCAAUCACCAAGACAUGCUCUUUUAUUUUAGAGGUUCGUUCUUUGAGUUUUUUGGGGGUUUUUUUGAGACAGGGCCUUCUCAAGUUCCAAGCUGAUCUCAAACUCACUAUAUGUCACUGGCUGGCCCCUCACUUGUGAUUGAAUUUCCUCAACCUCCCAGAAUUCUGGGAUUAGAAAUGUGAGUGAGCAUCCCUCUCUUGGCCUCUCUUAGUUACAGACACUGGCACAAAACUUUAAAAUGACCAGAAAACAAUGUAUAAAUUACUCUAAAGAAAGCAUUGCGUUUACAGCACAUUGUAAAAUUUGUACUCUGCUCAUUUUCCUGAGUUAAAUUUGAUAUGAAUACAGCCAAUCUUUUUUGAGCUUAUACAAUCUAGGUACCAAACUUCCUCCUAAGUUCUUUGGAAAUCAAAAUGGAGUAAGCGAUCAAACAAGGAGGAUAAUUAUGGAGACUGAUAGAAGGAAGAAUGCUCAGAGGAGACCUAGUAUGAAAAUGAAGCUCCAAUGUGUCCAUGUUGUCUAUCUCGAGACACUGAUUACACAUCACUGCAUCCCUCCUCCAUCACAUCUUGUGGGAGAUGUGACAUACUCAACCGUCCAGAGAAUAGAGUGCAGGUGAUGUUUACAAUCAAGAAGUUAGUAGCAGAAAUGUAGGAUAAUACCUUCUCAGGAGGAUCAAGACAGGUUUUAUGAAGAGUUGAUCUUUAAAGCAGGUUUUGAAGAAAGGGAAACAUUGCCAAGGGACAGUGCAUAGAGAAAUCUCUAAACUAAUGAGAGCAGGAGUGAUCUUGGAAGAUCAUUUAUUUGAGUUGACAGGUGCACAGGAGGAGACAGAAGGGGUCGUUGUAAAUAUAAUUGCAAUAGAAAGUACAUACUGAUAUCAUGAUUGAUGACUACAUAAAAUGCUUUUCUAAAGGAGUUUACUUUUAUUUAAUGUCUUUUGACAAAGCAUAGCUUAAAGAGCCUCUGAAGACAAUAUGUUUGCUAAGUUGAAUUAAGAGUGAAAUAAAGUAGAGCAAAUCAGGUCAAUAAAAAAUCAAGACACAAAGUAAUUGAUUGUUAGAGAUGCAGGAGUAUUUCUCUUGCUUUUCUAUUUAUUUUAUACUUUAUUUAUUAUUAUGAAUAUCUAGUCUAGCUCAUUUCACUUAAAAAGGUUAUAGAAGUUCAUAUUUAUCUAUGUUAACACCACAGUUUUCUUUCCUCAUCUGUAAAAUAUGUAUUACAGAAUCUCCUUUCCAAUUUAGAGCUUGUGAUCAUGCACUGAAGAUAUUUUUUAUAUCCUAUGUUGCAUUGUAAAAAUAAAUAAUUUUUCCUAAAUCAUGUGUAAACUUCAUUUUAUAAUUGACAUGGAGCAAACAUAUCAUCUUUAAAAAGCACCAAUACAAAAUAUCUUUUACCUUCUUUAGUCCACCGUAAAACACAUACCCUCCAGGACCAUUGAUUCUGACUUCAUUUGCUUUUCAUUUCCUUCAGUGAUUAGCUAAUUGCACCAUACUAUUGAGGGCUGUUCAUCAUCAAAGAACAAUAUUGAAGGUCUGAGCUUCUUAGCAACUCCAAAGCCCCAAGUAUCCCUAUACAUACAGACAGCAGCUAUUGAAAGGGAG
ensembl:lncRNA